CACGGGGGGAGCAAGCGUUGUUCGGAUUCAUUGGGCGUAAAGAGCUCGUAGGUGGCUCUGUAAGUCGGUGGUGAAAGCCCACGGCUCAACCGUGGAUACGCCUCCGAAACUGUGGAGCUUGAGGCUGGGAGAGGAAAUCGGAAUUCCUGGUGUAGCGGUGAAAUGCGUAGAUAUCAGGAGGAACACCGGUGGCGAAGGCGGAUUUCUGGACCAGUUCUGACACUGAGGAGCGAAAGCCAGGGGAGCAAACAGG
rnacentral:rRNA from 1 species